UACGGAGGGUGCAAGCGUUAUCCGGAUUCACUGGGCUUAAAGGGUGCGUAGGCGGGUAGGUAAGUCAGUGGUGAAAUCUUCGAGCUUAACUCGGAAACUGCCAUUGAUACUAUUUAUCUUGAAUACUUUGGAGGUAAGCGGAAUAUGUCAUGUAGCGGUGAAAUGCUUAGAUAUGACAUAGAACACCAAUUGCGAAGGCAGCUUGCUACACAGUUAUUGACACUGAGGCACGAAAGCGUGGGGAGCAAACAGG
rnacentral:rRNA from 1 species